rnacentral:rRNA from 1 species
ACCUACGGGGGGCAGCAGUCGAGAAUCAUUCACAAUGGGGGAAGCCCUGAUGGUGCGACGCCGCGUGGGGGAAUGAAGGUCUUCGGAUUGUAAACCCCUGUCAUGUGGGAGCAAAUUAAAAAGAUAGUACCACAAGAGGAAGAGACGGCUAACUCUGUGCCAGCAGCCGCGGUAAUACAGAGGUCUCAAGCGUUGUUCGGAAUCACUGGGCGUAAAGCGUGCGUAGGCUGUUUCGUAAGUCGUGUGUGAAAGGCGCGGGCUCAACCCGCGGACGGCACAUGCUACUGCGAGACUAGAGUAAUGGA